CGCCAGACUCCUACGGGAGGCAGCAGUGGGGGAUAUUGCACAAUGGGGGAAACCCUGAUGCAGCGACGCCGCGUGAGUGAAGAAGUAUUUCGGUAUGUAAAGCUCUAUCAGCAGGGAAGAAAAAAGACGGUACCUGACUAAGAAGCCCCGGCUAACUACGUGCCAGCAGCCGCGGUAAUACGUAGGGGGCAAGCGUUAUCCGGAUUUACUGGGUGUAAAGGGCGUGUAGGCGGGACUGCAAGUCAGAUGUGAAAACCACGGGCUCAACCUGUGGCCUGCAUUUGAAACUGUAGUUCUUGAGUACUGGAGAGGCAGACGGAAUUCCUAGUGUAGCGGUGAAAUGCGUAGAUAUUAGGAGGAACACCAGUGGCGAAGGCGGCUUACUGGACGGCAACUGACGCUGAGGCUCGAAAGCGUGGGGAGCAAACAGGAUUAGAUACCCCCGUAUA
rnacentral:rRNA from 1 species